UGGAAACGGUAGCUAAUACCGCAUAACGUCGCAAGACCAAANAGGGGGACCCUCGGGCCUCUUGCCAUCGGAUGUGCCCAGAUGGGAUUAGCUUGUUGGUGGGGUAACGGCUCACCAAGGCGACGAUCCCUAGCUGGUCUGAGAGGAUGACCAGCCACACUGGAACUGAGACACGGUCCAGACUCCUACGGGAGGCAGCAUG
rnacentral:rRNA from 1 species